CACGGGGGGAGCAAGCGUUGUUCGGAAUCACUGGGCGUAAAGGGCGUGUAGGCGGUCAGGUAAGUGAGAUGUGAAAUGCCCCGGCUCACCCGGGGACCGGCAUCUCAUACUGCUUGGCUUGAGUACGGGAGAGGUGAGUGGAACUGCGAGUGUAGAGGUGAAAUUCGUAGAUAUUCGCAAGAACACCAGUGGCGAAGGCGGCUCACUGGCCCGGUACUGACGCUGAUGCGCGAAAGCCAGGGGAGCGAACGGG
rnacentral:rRNA from 1 species